UACGUAGGUGGCAAGCGUUGUCCGGAUUUAUUGGGCGUAAAGCGCGCGCAGGCGGCUAUGUAAGUCUGAUGUUAAAGCCCGAGCUCAACCUCGGUUCGCAUUGGAAACUGUGUAGCUUGAGUGCAGAAGAGGAAAGCGGUAUUCCACGUGUAGCGGUGAAAUGCGUAGAGAUGUGGAGGAACACCAGUGGCGAAGGCGGCUUUCUGGUCUGUAACUGACGCUGAGGCGCGAAAGCGUGGGGAGCAAACAGG
rnacentral:rRNA from 1 species